CGCAUACCCAUACUGGAUUCCACCGAUAACGUGGUGAUUGGAGUACUCUACGCAAAGUCCCUCAUAUUCAUGAAUCCGCUGGUGUCCGAGAAGAUGGGGGCUUUCUUCCCUCCAAACUGUACCGUGGCGCAGCUCAUGAAAGAUACGCUUCUUUACAUCAGCCAGGAGAUGGGCUUGUAUGAUCUGCUAAAUAAGUUUCAGGAGGGAAAAAGUUGGUAGCAUUCUGAACUUAUGCCACAUGGCUAUCGUGCUGGAACCCCAAACAAACAGAACUGUGGGAAUCAUUACACUCGAGGACGUUCUGGAAGAAUUAAUAAACGAAGAGAUUCUUGACGAAACGGAUGUCUACGUAGAUAUUCAGAAAAAAGUCCAGGUUGCCAGAUCGGAAAAUUCUUUUGGUCUGUUGAACUUGGCGAGGAUUAAAAGAAAAUCCGUUGACGCUCCAGAAAAAGAGUGCAAAGGCGUAAAUGGUUAUAAUAGCAAUGAUAUUAAGCGAGUCCAUAGCGCAAACGGAUUAAGUCGCUUUGACCCGGAUAAUAUGAGUGAAAAUCUAAGUGGCCAAGAGGACAGUAAAAGUGAU